CCUGCCCGCCCGCCCGCACGCCCCACGGCUUAUCCACCAUGCAUCUCCACCUCCAUCACCGCGCCAGAUUGAUACGGAUCGCACCACCGUUGCCGCCGUCAUCCACACCCGCACCCGCAUGAUCCUACUCCUACCAUGCUGGGGCGCAACGCCCUUGCCCGACCACGUCGGCCUACCGAACCGCACCUCCCGCUCCUGCUGCAGGUGCUUUGCUGGGAGCCGCCUCCCGUACCUGCUUUGCACAUUUCUGGUUCUCAGGAAUCUCGAACACUUCGCCUACGCCUCGCUCAAUGAUGCCAUGCUCGCCGUGGCCAUCGCCGGCACAAGAGGGGGCCUCGCGGGGCACCGCCAAAUCCGCCGCCUCCGGUGCCUUCACCGGCGAUGAGCUCGCCCGUCGCCGUCCAUGGAACAUCCUCGUUGCCGAGUCUUGCAGUGUCCUCAUCCCCCACAAACCCCACUAGUGCGCCUCAUAGCGUCCACGUGCAGCCAUGCGUGCGCCCCAGACGUUCCGCCGCCCCUCGCUGCCGGCGAGGCCACGGCCGCCCUUGCAUGCCGCGCCGUGCGUGGAUUGGCCACACCCCACCUUGCAAGUGUAGGGUGCCGAGUUAAGAUGUUGCAAAGAUUCUUUUUGGAUGUUGCGAGAGAUGAAUUAUGCUUUUGCAAUGGGUGAUUGUUUUUUUUUUAUGUUUUCAAUUUGUGAUUUUUAUAUUGCAACAUAUAAUUUUGGAUGUCCCAAAAGGUAAGUGUCAAUAUUGCAAACAUUAUUUUUGUAUGUUACCAUUCUGAGUGGAUGUUGCAUGAGAUACAUGCUGCGGUAGGGAUUUCAUAUCA